rfam:Gossypium hirsutum cultivar TM-1 unplaced genomic scaffold scaffold2167.1, whole genome shotgun sequence
UAUUAAAAUUUUCAUCUAUUUUUAUUAUUAAAAAUUGGUGUAGUUAAUAGAAUAACUAGGCAAUUACAUCUAGCCUGCCACGUGUACCUCAUGCUGACAUACAAAAACUUGUUUUUAAUAAUAAAAAUGGAUGAAAAUUUUAGCA